UUUCGGUGCAGUUAAGAAGAGAAUCUGUGGUUUCAUGUGCUAAAUACAGCACUCUGAAAGACUGCAGAGCUGCUCUGGAUCCUUUCUGCGGCUGGUGUGUGAACACUCAGAGAUGUUCUACUCAAGAUGAAUGCUCAAAUACUGCAUGGGUGUCCAUCCCAAAAAACUCUCUUCAGACACAGCUGUUUUCUUUUCAGAUGGCAGAGAAUUAUUCUAGAAAGAUUAAUCUACAUCUUAUUUUGAAUCUGGAGAGCACAGGAAAUCCUGCCUUCUCAUGCACCUUCACUAAAGAAAGUGUAAACCUGUGUGACGUGUCUGAUCCGCCUGCAGUUUUCCCAAACUGCUCCUGUAGUUUUUCUGACCAGAUGCUCUAUACUAGAGGUUGGUUCUCCUUCAAAGAAGUUCUAUAUUUUCUAAUAUACAGUGCAUUUACAGUAUGUAGUCAGAAUAUGAUUAUUUAUAAUCAGAAACAUUUGGCAAUCUGUUCAGGUUUAAAAGUCUCUGCUACUGUUACUAUUGAGGAUCAGAACAUCAUAGAGAUGCUGACACUGAGGAACUGCUCCCGUAUCACAGAUAAUUCACCAAAUGCUUCUUAUACACAGUGUGUUCAGUGUAUCUCAUCUGGGUGUCACUGGUCCUCAUUCUCCAAGCGUUGUGAAUGGACACUUGGACCUGGACCACAGUUAAACAUACAGGUGAGAUGGCGUGUAACCUAUGAU
rnacentral:lncRNA from 1 species